ensembl:lncRNA
GGACGAGUCAUGCUCUAGAUUUCCUAAAGCUUGCAUGCACCAUUCUAUUUAGAAAUAGCUUUGUGUGGUACUCUGCUAUAAAAGCGUUACCAUAAUCCCAAAAAAGGCUGUGCUGACAAAGGGUUGCUUGAGGACUACACCCAAAGCAGGUGUUAUCAGUGAGGGCAUCACUGUUGCCAGCUCAGUCCCCUAACAUGGCUUCCCCUGGAUGGACUCACAAACGUUUCAAAAGAAUAGCAUGGCAGCAGAGGUUGAACCUUCCUGCCAAUAUUCUGUUCCACGUUGUUGUGUGACAGCUGGCAGCAGAGGAGCAGUCUGACAAAAUGGCGUCUGACAUGGAAGUGCGCAUGGAGCAGUGGUGUAGAACUGAGUUCCUCCAUGGAGAAAAAAUGGCACCCUGUGACAUUCACUGAAGCCUGCUGAACCAAACAGAAGAUGUGAGCACACUGAGGCAGUGAGUGGUUGCAUUUUGGCAGCGGCAACAGUGACAGCAGGUCUACUGGUGCUGAUUUUUAUGAGCAUGACAUGCAUGCUCUUGUUCAUUGGUGGUGAAAAUGCAUCGCUAAUGAUGGUGACUAUGUUGAAAAAGAGUGUUUUGUAGCUGAG